rnacentral:rRNA from 1 species
AGAACGAACGCUGGCGGCAGGCCUAACACAUGCAAGUCGAACGCCGUAGCAAUACGGAGUGGCAGACGGGUGAGUAACGCGUGGGAACAUACCCUUCGGUUCGGAAUAACUCAGGGAAACUUGAGCUAAUACCGGAUACGUCCGAGGUUUUAAUCGACCUUGGAGAAAGAUUUAUCGCCGGAGGAUUGGCCCGCGUCUGAUUAGCUUGUUGGUGAGGUAAUGGCUCACCAAGGCGACGAUCAGUAGCUGGUCUGAGAGGAUGAUCAGCCACAUUGGGACUGAGACACGGCCCAAACUCCUACGGGAGGCAGCAGUGGGGAAUAUUGGACAAUGGGCGAAAGCCUGAUCCAGCCAUGCCGCGUGAGUGAUGAAGGCCUUAGGGUUGUAAAGCUCUUUUACCGGGAAGAUAAUGACGGUACCGGAGAAUAAGCCCGGCUAACUUCGUGCCAGCAGCCGC